UACGUAGGGAGCAAGCGUUGUCCGGAUUCACUGGGUGUAAAGGGUGCGCAGGCGGGAAAGUAAGUCAGAGGUGAAAUCUCACAGCUUAACUGUGAAACUGCCUUUGAUACUGCUUUUCUUGAGUUCGGGAGAGGUUGAUGGAAUUCCAGGUGUAGCGGUGAAAUGCGCAGAUAUCAGGAAGAACACCCGUGGCUAAGGCGGCUCCUCUAGUACGGUACUGACGCUGAGACGCGAAAGCGUGGGGAGCAAACAGG
rnacentral:rRNA from 1 species